AUGGAGGGAGUACAAUUCAAAAGCUGCAGGAACAAGGGAGAUUGGGCCUAGGUCCCAGGCCAAUCUUUAAGCUUCAAUGACGGGAAAUGAAUUCCCAAACCAAACACUUCUGUAAAACGCGAAUGACGCUAAUCAAUCACUCUCACGACUCAGCCGCGCCAAAGUUCACCGCCGACGGCGGCGGAGUUCUCGUAAUCCUAAUUUCGAAUCCUUAAACACAACCGUCUAAUUCCUGACCAAACACGAAUCGAAUAGAAAAUCUCUCACGAACAAAAAUCAGGAUCUAAUCCUCAUACGGAGGAAGCCAAAAACCUUAAAACCCACUCGACGGUAACAAAAUGUGGCGAACCGAAGGAUUACGUAUUCUCGACGGCAACAGUGCGAAGUCAAAGAGAAAGACGAACGCGAGCUUACACGUGAGGCUCCCUCAAAAUCUCCUCCUCCUAUUCUAUCUACUCUUGUGCGUGUGGUUGUUUGGAGUUAUGAGUUAUAAAAGAAUCAGUUACCGGUUGGAGGCGAUUGCGGCUCAACGAAGAAGAUGAUGAUGAGGAAUAACGAGGAAUGAGAAUUCGCUCACGGUGGUGACGCCUAAUCAAUCAAAGAGUGAAGAUCGACUCUGGUCGGAAACACGCCGUCGACGAGGAGUGAAGAUCAGCGUUGAUUAGGAACGCCUCCAUGUAACAUUUUCCUCUGCUAAAGGUUGUUGCAGGUGGAGGAGACAAAUUGAGAAGUGAGGUUGAAGAAGCUUGAGCUUUUUCCUCUCUGUUGUAGGUUCUACAGAAGAUAACUCAAUUUUCGUGUUUCUGUUGAAAUUGUGAAGAAUUCCCCCCGAAGCUCAAAGUUUCCCCCAGAAUUUAUAAGCACCCAAUCUGUUAAAUCCACUUGAGUUUUGUAAGCUUCAAUUUGUGCAAAGUUGUUAGAGGUUUGCUAACACCGUGAAUUAAUUCAGUUAGAGUUAUUAUUAUGCAAGAACUUUUUCUGUUUGAA